rnacentral:tRNA from 1 species
GCCCGGGUGGUGGAAUUGGUAGACACGCUGGACUUAAAAUCCAGUGGCCAUCGCGGCCGUACGGGUUCAAGUCCCGUCCCGGGUA